GAUGAACGCUGGCGGCGUGCCUAAUACAUGCAAGUCGAGCGAACAGACGAGGAGCUUGCUCCUCUGACGUUAGCGGCGGACGGGUGAGUAACACGUGGAUAACCUACCUAUAAGACUGGGAUAACUUCGGGAAACCGGAGCUAAUACCGGAUAAUAUAUUGAACCGCAUGGUUCAAUAGUGAAAGACGGUUUUGCUGUCACUUAUAGAUGGAUCCGCGCCGCAUUAGCUAGUUGGUAAGGUAACGGCUUACCAAGGCAACGAUGCGUAGCCGACCUGAGAGGGUGAUCGGCCACACUGGAACUGAGACCCGGUCCAGACUCCUACGGGAGGCAGCAGUCGGGAAUCUUCCGCAAUGGGCGAAAGCCUGACGGAGCAACGCCGCGUGAGUGAUGAAGGUCUUCGGAUCGUAAAACUCUGUUAUUAGGGAAGAACAAAUGUGUAAGUAACUAUGCACGUCUUGACGGUACCUAAUCAGAAAGCCACGGCUAACUACG
rnacentral:rRNA from 1 species